UAGAGUUUGAUCCUGGCUCAGAACGUACGCUGGCGGCACGCCUAACACAUGCAAGUCGAACGAAGUAGCAAUACUUAGUGGCAGACGGGUGAGUAACAUGUAGGUAUCUGCCCUUUGGCCUGGAAUAACACGAGGAAACUUGUGCUAAUACCGGAUAAGUCUUUACGGAGAAAGCUUUAUGCACCAUUGGAUGAGCCUGCACUUGAUUAGUUUGUUGGUGGGGUAAUGGCCUACCAAGACUGUGAUCAAUAGCUGAUUUGAGAGGAUGAUCAGCCACAUUGGGACUGAGACACGGCCCAAACUCCUACGGGAGGCAGCAGUGGGGAAUCUUGCACAAUGGAGGAAACUCUGAUGCAGCGAUGCCGCGUGAGUGAAGAAGGCCCUUGGGUUGUAAAGCUCUUUCGUCGGGGAAGAAAAUGACUGUACCCGAAUAAGAAGGUCCGGCUAACUUCGUGCCAGCAGCCGCGGUAAUACGAAGGGACCUAGCGUAGUUCGGAAUUACUGGGCUUAAAGAGUUCGUAGGUGGUUAAAAUAGUUGGUGGUGAAAUCCCAGAGCUUAACUCUGGAACUGCCAUCAAAACUUUUCAGCUAGAGUAUGAUAGAGGAAAGCAGAAUUUCUAGUGUAGAGGUGAAAUUCGUAGAUAUUAGAAAGAAUACCAAAUGCGAAGGCAGCUUUCUGGAUCAUUACUGACACUGAGGAACGAAAGCAUGGGUAGCGAAGAGGAUUAGAUACCCUCGUAGUCCAUGCCGUAAACGAUGUGUGUUAGACGUUGGAAAUUUAUUUUCAGUGUCGCAGGGAAACCGAUAAACACACCGCCUGGGGAGUACGACCGCAAGGUUAAAACUCAAAUGAAUUGACGGGGACCCGCACAAGUAGUGGAGCAUGUGGUUUAAUUCGAAGAUACGCGCAGAACCUUACCAACACUUGACAUGUUCGUCGCGACUCUAAGAGAUUAGAGUUUUCGGUUCGGCCGGACGAAACACAGGUGCUGCAUGGCUGUCGUCAGCUCGUGUCGUGAGAUGUUGGGUUAAGUCCCGCAACGAGCGCAACCCUCACUUUUAGUUGCCAUCAUUAAGUUGGGCACUCUGAAAGAACUGCCAGUGAUAAGCUGGAGGAAGGUGGGGAUGACGUCAAGUCCUCAUGGCCCUUACGUGUUGGGCUACACACGUGCUACAAUGGUAUCUACAACAGGAAGCAAAACUGCGAAGUUAAGCAAAUCCCUAAAAGAUACCUCAGUUCGGAUUGCACUCUGCAACUCGAGCGCAUGAAGCUGGAAUUACUAGUAAUCGUGGAUCAGCGUGCCACGGUGAAUGCGUUCCCGGGUCUUGUACACACCGCCCGUCACACCAUGGGAGUUGGUUCUACCUUAAGGCAAGGUUUCAAACCCUUGACCACGGUAUAGUCAGCGACUGGGGUGAAGUCGUAACAAGGUAACCA
rnacentral:rRNA from 1 species